UACGUAGGGGGCAAGCGUUGUCCGGAUUCAUUGGGCGUAAAGAGCGUGUAGGCGGCCAGGUAGGUCGGUUGUGAAAACUGGAGGCUCAACCUUCAGAGGUCGACCGAAACCAUCUGGCUAGAGUCCGGGAGAGGAGAGUGGAAUUCCUGGUGUAGCGGUGAAAUGCGUAGAUAUUGGGAGGAACACCAGUGGCGAAGGCGGCUCACUGGACCGGAACUGACGCUGAGGCGCGAAAGCGUGGGAGCAAACGGG
rnacentral:rRNA from 1 species